AUUGAACGCUGGCGGCAUGCUUUACACAUGCAAGUCGAACGGCAGCACGGACUUCGGUCUGGUGGCGAGUGGCGAACGGGUGAGUAAUAUAUCGGAACGUGCCCAGUCGUGGGGGAUAACGUAGCGAAAGUUACGCUAAUACCGCAUACGAUCUAUGGAUGAAAGCGGGGGAUCGCAAGACCUCGCGCGAUUGGAGCGGCCGAUAUCAGAUUAGGUAGUUGGUGGGGUAAAGGCUCACCAAGCCAACGAUCUGUAGCUGGUCUGAGAGGACGACCAGCCACACUGGAACGGUAACACAGUCCAGACUCCGACGGGAGGCAGCAGUGGGGAAUUUUGGACAAUGGACGCAAGUCUGAUCCAGCCAUUCCGCGUGCAGGAUGAAGGCCCUCAGGUUGUAAACUGCUUUUGUACGGAACGAAAAGGUCUCCAUUAAUACUGGGGGCUCAUGACGGUACCGUAAGAAUAAGCACCGGCUAACUACGUGCCAGCAGCCGCCGUAA
rnacentral:rRNA from 1 species